ACGAACGCUGGCGGCGUGCUUAACCCAUGCAAGUCGAACGGAAAGGCCCUGCUUUUGUGGGGUGCUCGAGUGGCGAACGGGUGAGUAACACGUGAGUAACCUGCCCUUGACUUUGGGAUAACUUCAGGAAACUGGGGCUAAUACCGGAUAGGAGCUCCUGCUGCAUGGUGGGGGUUGGAAAGUUUCGGCGGUUGGGGAUGGACUCGCGGCUUAUCAGCUUGUUGGUAGGGUAGUGGCUUACCAAGGCUUUGACGGGUAGCCGGCCUGAGAGGGUGACCGGCCACAUUGGGACUGAGAUACGGCCCAGACUCCUACGGGAGGCAGCAGUGGGGAAUAUUGCACAAUGGGCGGAAGCCUGAUGCAGCAACGCCGCGUGCGGGAUGACGGCCUUCGGGUUGUAAACCGCUUUCGCCUGUGACGAAGCGUGAGUGACGGUAAUGGGUAAAGAAGCACCGGCUAACUACGUG
rnacentral:rRNA from 1 species